rnacentral:rRNA from 1 species
ACGAACGCUGGCGGCGUGGAUAAGACAUGCAAGUCGAACGCUGACAUUCGGGUAGCAAUAUUCGGAUGUUGGAGUGGCGCAGGGGUGUGUAACACGUGGGUAAUUUACCGCGAAGCCCGGAAUAACUCGCUGAAAGGCGAGCUAAUGCCGGAUGAGACUCCUGGGGAGCAUUCCUUGGGAUUGAAAGCUGGGGACCGAAAGGCCUGGCACUUUGCGAUAAGCCCGCGGCCUAUCAGCUAGUUGGUGAGGUAAAGGCUCACCAAGGCUAAGACGGGUAGCUGGUCUGAGAGGACGACCAGCCACACUGGAACUGAGACACGGUCCACACACCUACGGGUGGCAGCAGUCGAGAAUUUUUCACAAUGGGGGAAACCCUGAUGGAGCGACGCCGCGUGGGGGAUGAAUGGCUUCGGCCCGUAAACCCCUGUCAUUUGCGAACAAUGCUUUGGUAUGAACAAUACCCAAGUUGAUAGUAGCAGAAGAGGAAGAGACGGCUAACUCUGUGCCAGCAGCCGCGGUAAUACAUAGGUCUCAAGCGUUGUUCGGAUUCACUGGGCGUAAAGGGUGCGUAUGCGGUUAGGUAAGUCUAAAGUGAAAGCUCCGGGCUUAACCCGGAGAUGGCUUUGGAUACUAUCUGGCUAGAGGGCCGGAGAGGGGACUGGAAUUCUCGGUGUAGCACUGAAAUGCGUAGAUAUCGAGAGGAACACCAGUGGCGAAAGCGAGUCCCUGGACGGCAUCUGACGCUGAGGCACGAAAGCCAUGGUAGCAAACGGGAUUACAUAUCCCGGUAGUCCU